rnacentral:rRNA from 1 species
UAGGGAAUAUUGCACAAUGGGCGAAAGCCUGAUGCAGCAACGCCGCGUGCGCGAUGACGGCCUUCGGGUUGUAAAGCGCUUUUCGGGGAGAUGAGGAAGGACAGUAUCCCCGGAAUAGGGCUCGGCUAACUACGUGCCAGCAGCCGCGGUAACACGUAGGAGCCAAGCGUUAUCCGAAUUCACUGGGCGUAAAGCGCGUGUAGGCGGCUUGGUAAGUUGGAUGUGAAAGCUCCUGGCUCAACUGGGAGAGGACGUUCAAUACUGCCGAGCUAGAGGGCGACAGGUGGAGGUGAAAGUCCCGGUGUAGUGGUGAGAUGCGUAGAUAUCGGGAGGAACACCAGUGGCGAAAGCGGCCUCCUGGGUCGGACCUGACGCUCAGACGCGAAAGCUAGGGGAG